GGCCUCGUAGAUCAGUUGGCUAGAGCGUUGGCUGUACUAAAGCCUUCCUCUUGCUGGCGUGGGUUCGAAUCCCACCGAGGCCA
rnacentral:tRNA from 1 species